CUGGGAGCAGUGGGCGGGGCCUAGAUUCCGAGGCCCAGGAGGCAGGGAUGGUGCCUCGGCGAGCCUGCGAGUCUGAGCCCUGGGGGUUGUCCCGUCCUACUCUCCGUUCAGUCAGCCGUUAUAUCCUUUCCGUAACCUCCUCCAGCAGGGUUUUAGGAACUAAAGAAAGAGGCCGUUUUCUCAGAGAUGAAACGCAAUGCUACGUAUUUGUAGGAAUUUUUCAAGAGACCACUGAAUCAUAAAAGACGUUUUCAAACUUGAAAAUUGCACCGUGCUUCAAAAACAUGUAAGUGGCUGUUUAAAUAUUUUAGCAACAAAAACACUUUGAAAAUACAUACUCAGGUUAAUGAUCAUUAGGAAUGUGGCUUUCUUUUAAAAAUAAAGGUCGUUCUUUACUUGGUAUAAUUUUUGUUAUUCAGUCGCGUCAUGUCUUGGCUCUCUGUGACCCAUGGACUGCAGCAUGCCAGGCUCCUCUGUCCUCCACUGCCUCCUGGAGUUUGCUCAAGUGCUUGUCCACUGAAUUGGUGAAGCUCCCUAACCAUUCCCAG
rnacentral:lncRNA from 1 species